rnacentral:rRNA from 1 species
AGUGAACGCUGGCGGCAGGCCUAACACAUGCAAGUCGAACGGCAGCACAAGAGAGCUUGCUCUCUGGGUGGCGAGUGGCGGACGGGUGAGGAAUGCAUCGGAAUCUGCCCAUUUGUGGGGGAUAACCUCGGGAAACCGGGACUAAUACCGCAUACGACCUACGGGUGAAAGCAGGGGAUCUUCGGACCUUGCGCAGAUGGAUGAGCCGAUGCCGGAUUAGCUAGUUGGAGGGGUAAAGGCCCACCACGGCGACGAUCCGUAGCUGGUCUGAGAGGAUGAUCAGCCACACUGGGACUGGGACACGGCCCAGACUCCUACGGGAGGCAGCAGUGGGGAAUAUUGCACAAUGGGCGCAAGCCUGAUCCAGCCAUGCCGCGUGUGUGAAGAAGGCCUUCGGGUUGUAAAGCACUUUUGUUGGGAAAGAAAAGCAGCCGGUUAAUACCCGGUUGUCAUGACGGUACCCAAAGAAUAAGCACCGGCUAACUUCGUG